GUGGGGAAUCUUGCGCAAUGGGCGAAAGCCUGACGCAGCCAUGCCGCGUGAAUGAUGAAGGUCUUAGGAUUGUAAAAUUCUUUCACCGGGGACGAUAAUGACGGUACCCGGAGAAGAAGCUCCGGCUAACUUCGUGCCAGCAGCCGCGGUAAUACGAAGGGGGCUAGCGUUGCUCGGAAUUACUGGGCGUAAAGGGCGCGUAGGCGGACAGCUUAGUCAGAGGUGAAAGCCCAGGGCUCAACCUUGGAAUUGCCUUUGAUACUGGCUGUCUUGAGUUUGGGAGAGGUGAGUGGAACUCCGAGUGUAGAGGUGAAAUUCGUAGAUAUUCGGAAGAACACCAGUGGCGAAGGCGACUCACUGGACCAAUACUGACGCUGAGGCGCGAAAGCGUGGGGAGCAAACAGGAUUAGAAACCCCGGUAGUCC
rnacentral:rRNA from 1 species